GAAAACAAGAAAACAUCGACUCAACAGCCCGUGAUGGCCGUGCCCACUAAAAUGGGACCUGUCAGGUCCUCCCUUAAGCGAACCUCCAUCCCCACUCCUCCUCGGAAAGUGUCCUGCAUCCGCCACAGUAAACCAGCUGUGUAUACUACACCUAUAGGUCCAGAACAGAAUGCAUCUGGUGGAUUUUCACGCACUCAGAAAGGAAAUCUCAGAGAGUAUCCGCCCCAAGUGGGACGCUUUUGAGAACUGCGUCGCAGACGCAGCUGCCGGAGAGAUGUAGUCUGUGUUCGUCGCUGACCGAGGAAUGCCCUGUCGUUAUAG